GGCAUAGCGCCGGAUGAACGGAUAACUCUGAUGACGUUAAUUAAGGAGCACUCUCCCUAUGCCU
rnacentral:tRNA from 1 species